rnacentral:rRNA from 1 species
UACAGAGGUCUCAAGCGUUGUUCGGAUUCAUUGGGCGUAAAGGGUGCGUAGGCGGCGCGGUAAGUCGGGUGUGAAAUCUCGGAGCUUAACUCCGAAACUGCAUUCGAUACUGCCGUGCUUGAGGACUGGAGAGGAGACUGGAAUUUACGGUGUAGCGGUGAAAUGCGUAGAUAUCAUGAGGAAGACCAGUGGCGAAGGCGGGUCUCUGGACAGUUCCUGACACUGAGACACGAAGGCCAGGGGAGCAAACGGG